CCGGCAUCACUCUCCCACGACGGUGGGCUAGAAUGAAGAGCUCAUGUAUAAGUGGCCAUGUUUGUGGAGGAAUUCAUGGCCGACAUCACCAGCAAUGAACGGACACGUCCUCUCCGGCCUAGCAAGUUUUGCUAGAAACCACUUUUGGACCGAUAGGACAGUGAUUGAGGUGCUGCGCUCUAACUUGACACCGUGGGGUCGUCUUCGACUUAAAAUCUGAUGAAGCCAUGAGCGUUUGGUGUCGUUGUGGCGGCUGCUAGCAAGUGCGCAAGCAGAUAAGUCAGCCAAGACUCUUCCGUUGAUCAGUCGAAUCUGGUGUGAUUGAUGAACUCUAAAUCCAGCCUGUGUUUUUGCUUGAUGAAACAACGCAUAUAUAUUGUAUGAUC